AUACUUUCAAUAUCAGAUCCUAUUGCUAACUGGCCAUUGGCCUAUGUUUCCCUAUUUAGAUUUCAAAGAGUAUGGUCAUGUUAAUCUUUAUAUACGAGGCCUCAGUGCAGAUUCUUGGUCAACAUAUGGAUUUGCUGUCCAUUAGUUGGAAUCCUCUCUUUGGGUGACUGGCUGGAGCAAGGAGGAAAGAAGUGGUGGUGUCAAUGAGUCAAGCUGAACAACAGUUGUCAUUGGCUGGCCAGUAUCUCUCAGAAUGAAAUAUGGAUAUUGGAGUCCUGUGACUGACCUUGCUGUGAAAAAGCUGUUGCAGAUGCAUAAUCAAUUUAAUUUCCAGAUGAAAAUGGAUAGUCUUUUGGAUUUUCCGCCUAACAUACAGCAGUUAAUGGGUAGCAACCUGCCUUUCUCCCUGAAUGAGGCAUCAUGCAGCAUUAAUUACUGCUGGCAGGCAUCCAACAACCAGGAGGGAAGUCAGGCUGGGGAGAAAGUUAACACCGAUUAAAGAGGAGCAGAGCAAACCACAGGAAAAUGGACCCAGCGCUCUGAUGGAACUAUGCCUAAAUUACCCUGGAGUUUUUAGUUAUUCUUUAAGCCAACUUGAGUUUGAUUUUUUUUGUCGCCUUUAAUUGAAAACAUUCUAAGAUUCAAGGACAAAAUUCUAAUAAGAUUAUUGUCAAAACAGAGGGAAGUCAUGCCAUAAAAAGGAAGUUUAGAGGAACUUGGAAAGACAAAAUUUUAAGGGUUGUAUAAAUUGUUUAGUUCAGUCCCAUGGAAGAGGGAGCGAAUUGUUGCUACUGUUUGAGAAUUCAAAACUAGGGCUGUUGCUGCAAAGUUCUGGGAAGACAAAUUUUGAUUCAACAUAAGUCACUGAGAAAUACUCUUUUGAGAACAUUUCUAAUUUUUCGAGACAUUCCAUUGUAGAAAGAGUUGUUUGCCAAUUACUGGAAGUGCUAAAACAAAGAAUAAUGAACCAUCUGUAAGUUCUAUUCAGCCCCGAGAUUUCAUGGUAUUUUGCCAUCCUUCAUUAUUUAAAUGUAGGUAAGGUAGUUACUUGUUUAAAAGAGUUUGAUUUCUGUCUUUGCCUCCCCAUCUAACCUGAGAGAUGUUUUCCUCAUCUGAAGAGUGAAUGGGUUGGAAUACAUGGUUUCUAAUACUGUUUCUACAGCUCUAAAUUGUUUUGCUACCCAAGAGAAAUGGUUGGUAGUAUGGAAGCAAGGCUCUUGGCCUGCUAUUUCUCAAGAUAAUAGUAAAAACCUAAAAGAAGAUAAUAGUAAAAAUCUAAAAAUGAAAAAUUAGAAUAGCAGCUUCAAAUUAAUCACAUUCCUUCUCAAAGUUAGAAUGAGGGAUUGCCUUGGGAAAUGCUACUCAGGUCUAAUUCCUGAAGAUAUUAUGUGCAUAUUUCAGAAAUGGAAGGUUCUAUUGAGUGAAUUAUCAAAAAUUCAAUCACUUAACAAGAAUUUAUUGAGCAGUUAUGUUCCCCAGCUUGUGCUAAACACUAUGAUAAAGAAAAUCUUACCUGUCUGGCUUUGUCUAAGGUGGAAAGUAUAUCGUAAGUUUUCAGUAUAGAACAUUCUCUGUUAUACAGAGGCCACAUAACACCUUCCUAAUCUUUUGCGUUUAGUACUAAAUUCAGGAUAUCGCCAAGGUUCUCUGUAUAGAAAAGAAAAGAGAGAAGAAAUAAAAGUAUCAUUCUAAGUGGUUAUUAGAUUGUU
rnacentral:lncRNA from 1 species